rnacentral:rRNA from 1 species
GACGAACGCUGGCGGCGUGCUUAACACAUGCAAGUCGAACGGAAAGGCCCUGCUUUUGUGGGGUGCUCGAGUGGCGAACGGGUGAGUAACACGCGAGUAACCUGCCCUUGACUUUGGGAUAACUUCAGGAAACUGGGGCUAAUACCGGAUAGGAGCUCCUGCUGCAUGGUGGGGGUUGGAAAGUUUCGGCGGUUGGGGAUGGACUCGCGGCUUAUCAGCUUGUUGGUGGGGUAGUGGCUUACCAAGGCUUUGACGGGUAGCCGGCCUGAGAGGGUGACCGGCCACAUUGGGACUGAGAUACGGCCCAGACUCCUACGGGAGGCAGCAGUGGGGAAUAUUGCACAAUGGGCGGAAGUCUGAUGCAGCAACGCCGCGUGCGGGAUGACGGCCUUCGGGUUGUAAACCGCUUUCGCCUGUGACGAAGCGUGAGUGACGGUAAUGGGUAAAGAAGCACCGGCUAACUACGUG